rnacentral:rRNA from 1 species
UACGGAGGGUGCAAGCGUUAUCCGGAUUCACUGGGUUUAAAGGGUGCGUAGGCGGGCAGGUAAGUCCGUGGUGAAAUCUCUGAGCUUAACUCAGAAACUGCCAUGGAUACUAUUUGUCUUGAAUAUUGUGGAGGUAAGCGGAAUAUGUCAUGUAGCGGUGAAAUGCUUAGAUAUGACAUAGAACACCAAUUGCGAAGGCAGCUUACUACACAGUUAUUGACGCUGAGGCACGAAAGCAUGGGGAUCAAACAGG